rnacentral:tRNA from 2 species
GCACUCGUGGCGGAAUUGGCAUACGCGAUAGCUUGAGGAGCUAUGCCCGUAAGGGCGUGGGAGUUCGAGUCUCCCCGAGUGCACAA